rnacentral:lncRNA from 1 species
GUUGAGAGGAGCGCACGUACGUUGAGAGGAGCGCACGUACGUUGAGAGGAGCGCACCGGAGAAAGAACACACGAGCUGCGGGACAGUGAGAGGAACACACUGGUAGAAGAGCACACAGGCAGCUGGAUGUCGAGAGGAGCGGAAGAGCACAGCGACAGGCACUGGUGUCGACCAGCGGAACGACGUGGAGUUUGGCCUGGGAGGUCAGAGAAGAAUUUGGCUGCUGGGCAGCCCCACUAUAGGGGAAAACCACCUUCCCACUCCAUUCCCCUUCUGAUCUCCCCAUCCACCUCGCUGAGAGCUACCACAACUCAAUAAAAAACCUAGCACUCGAUCUCCAAGCCCACAUGUGAUCCAAUUUUUCCCGUGCACUAAAGCAAGAACCUGGGAUACAGAAAGCCGUCUGUCCUUGUGAUAAGGCAGAGGGUCUAAUUGAGCUGAUUAACACAAGCCACCUGCGGACAGCUAAGCUGAAAAAGCAUCCUGUAACACACGCCCACUGGGGCCUCAGGAGGUGUAAACAUUCACCCCGAGAGGCUGCAUGGGUCCGCGCCCAUGGUCCCCAUGACUUGCCUGUUUGCCUGCUCUGGCUAAGGGUCUUGACCAGUGGGGCACUGAAGAAGCGAGCCACACCUCCAUCGUACGCCCUGCGAGGAGGGGUCUCACUCAGUGACCCAGGCUGAAUGCAGUGGAACAAUCAUGGCUUACUGUAGCCUUGACCUUGAGGGCUUAAGCAAUCCUGCCACCUCAGCCUGCCUAGUACUGGGACUACAGGUACGCGCCACCACGCCCAGGCUGGAGUGCAAUGACAUGAUCUCGGCUCACUGCAACCUCUGCCUCCUGGAUUUAAGCAAUUCUGCUGCCUCAGCCUCC